rnacentral:rRNA from 1 species
AUUGAACGCUGGCGGCAGGCCUAACACAUGCAAGUCGAGCGGAUGAAGGGAGCUUUCUCCUGGAUUCAGCGGCGGACGGGUGAGUAAUGCCUAGGAAUCUGCCUGGUAGUGGGGGAUAACGUCCGGUAACGGGCGCUAAUACCGCAUCCGUCCUGUGGUUGACAGUGGGGGUUCUUCGGACCUCACGCUAUCAGAUGAGCCUAGGUCGGAUUAGCUAGUUGGUGGGGUAAAGGCCUACCAAGGCGACGAUCCGUAACUGGUAUGAGAGGAUGAUCAGUCACACGGGAACUGAGACACGGUCCAGACUCCUACGGGAGGCAGCAGUGGGGAAUAUUGGACAAUGGGCGAAAGCCUGAUGCAGCCAUGCCGCGUGUGUGAAGAAGGUCUUCGGAUUGUAAAGCACUUUAAGUUGGGAGGAAGGGAAGUAAGUUAAAACCUUGAUGUAUUGACGUUACCAACAGAAAAAGCAACGGCUAACUACGUG